GAUGAACGCUGGCGGCGUGCCUAAUACAUGCAAGUCGAGCGAACGGACGAGAAGCUUGCUUCUCUGAUGUUAGCGGCGGGCGGGUGAGUAACACGUGGAUAACCUACCUAUAAGACUGGGAUAACUUCGGGAAACCGGAGCUAAUACCGGAUAAUAUUUUGAACCGCAUGGUUCAAAAGUGAAAGACGGUCUUGCUGUCACUUAUAGAUGGAUCCGCGCUGCAUUAGCUAGUUGGUAAGGUAACGGCUUACCAAGGCAACGAUGCAUAGCCGACCUGAGAGGGUGAUCGGCCACACUGGAACUGAGACACGGUCCAGACUCCUACGGGAGGCAGCAGUAGGAAAUCUUCCGCAAUGGGCGAAAGCCUGACGGAGCAACGCCGCGUGAGUGAUGAAGGUCUUCGGAUCGUAAAACUCUGUUAUUAGGGAAGAACAUAUGUGUAAGUAACUGUGCACAUCUUGACGGUACCUAAUCAGAAAGCCACGGCUAACUACGUG
rnacentral:rRNA from 1 species